AACAGAGCAAGUUGGAGAGAUAAACCAGCUUCUUCCUUCCCUGAUUCAAAGGCAACCAGGAAAUCAAUCAGGUCCCUGAUUCAAAGGCCACCAGCCUCAGCCAAGUCCCCAGAAUACAGCCAGCAGUUGGUCUGGCUCCAAACUGCCUUUCCUGGUAACACUCCAAAUCAGAAUCUUCAUUUGAUUGACAGUGAGGUCACCACUCAGCCACUGCUUCUUGUCUUGCUGCAGGCCUUUCCAAUAUCUCUCUCUUCCACAACACCGAAGCUUACCUCCAUUCCUGUGUUAAAGGGAGAAUUCUCCAGCAAUUUCCCCGUGCCUGAUUUUGGCUCAAGUGUCUGGUCUCAGACUGAGCAUUCUACAGAGGCAUCCUGGUUGGCCUCCUUUGGAGGUUUUCCCUUAUGACUAGAAUAUUCUUUCUCUGAGCAAGUCACAGGGAUUUACCCUGGGAAGAUAACCUGUAUUUAGAUUAUGGAAUGCUUCAGAUGACAAAAAGAAGAGUCUGUAUCAUAUGCUAAAGAGAAUGGUAAAUCACUGAAGAAGCUUGAGCAGUAAUAGAGUAACUCAGUCAGAAGAACAUUUUGGGAAUAUCACCACAGAAGCUAUAAGGAGGUACAGAAAGCCUGGAUCCUCCCAGGGUUGUGAACUUUCUUCUAGUCUGACCCACCCCAUUAGCAUGACUGGAAUACUCCAAACAGAGGACACAGCUCAAGAGCCCUAGGAACAUGAGCCAGAACUAAGGAUUAGGGCUCAGGGUGAAGGAGACUUUGGUUCCUAAGAUGUGAUAGACUAAUAGUUCAGAGAGAGAAUGGAAAGCACAUGGAAAAAAGGGAUAAAAAAAAAGAAAAAAAGAUGAGUCCAUAGAGGAGAUUGUGGUCCUUGGCAUGAGUUUUCUUGGAUUGAUUCUUCUACUCCAUUCGGUGUUGAUGGCUCAGGCAGAAGACACCCUCCCUCAUGGGCUGGUAAGAUUCUUUCUCUGAACAGACUACCCAGACUUCCAUGUGGAGAUAAGAACCUUGUUGGGACUGAUCUGAAAUUCUACGGACCAGACUUUAGAGUGGUAGACUAGGAAAUAAAUUUUCUUCUUCCUUCCUUUCUUAUUUCUUU
rnacentral:lncRNA from 1 species